rnacentral:rRNA from 1 species
UAGGGAAUCUUCCGCAAUGGACGCAAGUCUGACGGAGCAACGCCGCGUGAGUGAAGAAGGAUUUCGGUUCGUAAAACUCUGUUGUUAGAGAAGAACAGCGCACAGAGUAACUGUUAUGCGUGUGACGGUAUCUAACCAGAAAGCCACGGCUAACUACGUGCCAGCAGCCGCGGUAAUACGUCGGUGGCAAGCGUUGUCCGGAUUUAUUGGGCGUAAAGCGAGCGCAGGCGGUCAAUUAAGUCUGAUGUGAAAGCCCCCGGCUCAACCGGGGAGGGUCAUUGGAAACUGGUUGACUUGAGUGCAGAAGAGGAGGGUGUAAUUCCAUGUGUAGCGGUGAGAUGCGUAGAUAUAUGGAGGACCACCAGUGGCGAAGGCGACUCUCUGGUCUGUAACUGACGCUGAGGCUCGAAAGCGUGGGUAGCAAACAGG